UACGGAGGGUGCAAGCGUUGUCCGGAUUUAUUGGGUUUAAAGGGUGCGUAGGCGGCUGUUUAAGUCAGCGGUGAAAGACUCCGGCUCAACCGGGGCAGUGCCGUUGAUACUGGACAGCUUGAGUGUUGGAGGGGUACAUGGAAUUGAUGGUGUAGCGGUGAAAUGCAUAGAUACCAUCAGGAACACCGAUAGCGAAGGCAUUGUACUGGCCAACAACUGACGCUGAGGCACGAAAGCAUGGGGAGCGAACAGG
rnacentral:rRNA from 1 species